rnacentral:rRNA from 1 species
AUUGAACGCUGGCGGCAUGCCUUACACAUGCAAGUCGAACGGUAACAGGUUAAGCUGACGAGUGGCGAACGGGUGAGUAAUAUAUCGGAACGUGCCCAGUCGUGGGGGAUAACGUAGCGAAAGCUACGCUAAUACCGCAUACGAUCCAUGGAUGAAAGCGGGGGAUCGCAAGACCUCGCGCGAUUGGAGCGGCCGAUAUCAGAUUAGCUAGUUGGUGAGGUAAAGGCUCACCAAGGCGACGAUCUGUAGCUGGUCUGAGAGGACGACCAGCCACACUGGAACUGAGACACGGUCCAGACUCCUACGGGAGGCAGCAGUGGGGAAUUUUGGACAAUGGGCGCAAGCCUGAUCCAGCAAUGCCGCGUGCAGGAUGAAGGCCUUCGGGUUGUAAACUGCUUUUGUACGGAACGAAACGGUGAGCUCUAAUACAGUUUGCUAAUGACGGUACCGUAAGAAUAAGCACCGGCUAACUACGUGCCAGCAGCCGCCGCAG